GAUGAACGCUGGCGGCGUGCUUAACACAUGCAAGUCGAACGGAAAGGCCCAAGCUUGCUUGGGUACUCGAGUGGCGAACGGGUGAGUAGCACGUGGGUGAUCUGCCCUGCACUUCGGGAUAAGCCUGGGAAACUGGGUCUAAUACCGGAUAGGACCACAUUUUGGAUGGUGUGGUGGAAAGUUUUUCGGUGUGGGAUGAGCUCGCGGCCUAUCAGCUUGUUGGUGGGGUAAUGGCCUACCAAGGCGUCGACGGGUAGCCGGCCUGAGAGGGUGUACGGCCACAUUGGGACUGAGAUACGGCCCAGACUCCUACGGGAGGCAGCAGUGGGGAAUAUUGCACAAUGGGCGCAAGCCUGAUGCAGCGACGCCGCGUGGGGGAUGACGGCCUUCGGGUUGUAAACUCCUUUCGCUAGGGACGAAGCGUUUUUGUGACGGUACCUGGAGAAGAAGCACCGGCUAACUACGUG
rnacentral:rRNA from 1 species